rnacentral:rRNA from 1 species
GGUGAACGCUGGCGGCGUGCUUAAGACAUGAAGUCGAACGCAGUCUUCGGACUGAGUGGCGCACGGGUGAGUAACACGUAACUGACCUACCCCCAAGUCGCGGAUAACUGGCCGAAAGGUCAGCUAAUACGUGAUGUGAUGUCCCCUUUCUGGGGGGCCAUUAAAGGUUUACUGCUUGGGGAUGGGGUUGCGUUCUAUCAGCUAGUUGGCGGGGUAAAGGCCCACCAAGGCAACGACGGAUAGCCGGCCUGAGAGGGUGGCCGGCCACAGGGGCACUGAGACACGGGUCCCACUCCUACGGGAGGCAGCAGUUAGGAAUCUUCCACAAUGGGCGAAAGCCUGGUGGAGCGACGCCGCGUGAGGGAUGAAGGUUCUCGGAUCGUAAACCUCUGAAUCAGGGACGAAAGACGCGUAAGCGGGAUGACGGUACCUGAGUAAUAGCACCGGCUAACUCCGUGCCAGCCGCCGCAGUAA